rfam:Gossypium raimondii chromosome 6, whole genome shotgun sequence.
AGCAUCAAAAAGAUAUGACGUUUAAAUAAUCUUCCUAUAGAAAAUUCUUAUGUUUCCUGCUUGUAGUACUUGAGAGCAAGUUUCUGCAGGUCUCACAUCUCCAGAGACGUGA